CGACCUAUUAUGAACUACAUCAGUCUGCUUUUUGUCUAUUGGGCGUGGUAACAGGCAGUUGAAGUCGACUAAUAAAUUUUAAGACCUAUACGAACAGCUGGUACCAGAAGGACACUGGUGGCAGCCUAUCUUCACUAAAUUAAGAACCCUGAAACUUGCUUCCUGUGAGACGCCUUGGACCAAUCACCGACUAAACUAGUAGAGAUAAAAAUUACUUCGUCAACCAUGAGAGUGAAAAUCCAAAAAAAAGCAGGGUGAUAAAAGCAAGCCAAAAAAAAGCAACUAAAAAAAGCAGGCCACGAGAGACAACCAAAAAGGGGAGGCGUAGCGAGCUAGGUUGAGGAGGGAGAGGGAGCAGACCGGAGAGGAUAGCGAGCUACAGCGAGCCAGGAGAGAUCCCAAGCGGCGGGCGGCGGCAUGGGGCGGCGGGACGAGGCGACAACGGGGAGGGAGGCGGACGGAGCGGGGGGAGGGGAUGUGAGUGGGGACAGGCUAGACCUAGACCUACUCAGCAACGGAGGGCAAGGAGAGUAGCGCAGGGAACACGGUCGGUACCUUCUCCCCUCCUUCUUCCCCUCCCUCUCGUUCCUCCUCCUCCUCCUUCUUCUUCUUCGAAGAGACAUCUUAGUCGGCUAGCCCGCCCCGAGAACUAGAACCGAUCGCUCUUACGCCAUCUAGAGCAGCUACGACGUCCCGGACCAGGCAAGGGUACAGAGACCCUUUCCUCUCCUUCCACCUCCUCCUCGUUGCGAGACCCCGCUCCCGAGACUCUGCAAGCGGCGGCGCACGAGGGCGGCGCCGCUCUUCCCGUGGUUGGUCCUGUGGAGGUAGCAGACCCUCCCUAUGCCCACGGUCCUGCUGUGGUAGAAGUCGCCGCAGAAGUUGCCCGUGCCGGUCACCCCGGUGAUGCAGCGGUUCCGGCAGGCCCUCAGCGACGGCGUCAGCGAAGACACGGUGACCGUUCUCCGACAGCGCGACCGCAGCGAGUAGCUGCCGCUCUUCUCCGAGUCGCUGACGGUCAAGCUGGAGGAGUCCGUCAGGAUGGACCGGCGGCGGCGGCGGUACCUGCUCCUCGAGGCGGCCUCGGCCGCGGAGCUGCGGCAGUUGUCGCCGACGUGCCGAGACAGGUAGCACUUCGUCCCGCUGGACUACCACCAGCGCUUGCAGCCGUUGAGCGCCCGGCAGGAACGCUGGUGCAACCUGCGCCCCUGUAGUGCCGGCAGGUUGAGUGGCAGCUGAAGUUCGGGCUGAAUGGGAUCCUCUUCCGCGCGUAGUACGUCACACUCCCGGCGCACGUGACGGAGCUGCUGCUCGGGUCGCACGUGGCCCACACCCACGGGGUGGCCCUCCGCGGCCCCGACCGGUACAGCGCGCGCAAGCCGCUGAUGACACAGUUCCUGAUGCUGCAGUAGAGCCGUGGCCUCCACUGCGUCUCCUCCUAGUGGCGGGCCCUGGUCAAGCAGUAGGACCGGUGACUGCCCUGUACCUCAUCAUUAACGACCCUGGUCUAGGUACGUGGUAGUAGACUUUGGGUACAUAAGUACUCCAGUUUGAUUCAUCAACACCGUCGAAACCUACUCUGUUGGGUUAAGGACCAUUUAACCUGUAGUAGUUACUCAAACAGCUCAAACUGACUUGAGAGUGUGAAACUUGUACGAGAUAAAUUUCGUUCCGGUAGGGACAGUAUUGUCUAUGUCAUUUUACGGUUGUGUAUAUACUAACUACAAUACUGUCAUAUGAACUGAAACCCCUACUGCUCUAGCUGCCUUCGUUGUGCUCGGGUGUUGAGUACUUAAGUCGCCGCAGACGUACGGGAUGUACAUCAACACGUGGAGGAGGAGGACAAAAGAACGUACACUAGUUACCAAAGUCUAGAGAUAAAUAGUGCCUAAUCUUAUAUAUAAGACAUUGUUACGAAAGGAUGUAAACAUAAAAAAUAACAAUAGUAGAUCUUCUAAUAUAAGACAUACUUACGAAAAUUGUUACGAAGCAGUCCGGCAAGGGCGACUACGAUAACAAGUACGGCAGGGGGGUCACGGAUCGUAGUGGCCGUUGUUCAAGUCGUGACAGACUGUUCCACGGGACGUCCCUGUUGGACUGUGCCGGUAACGAGUGGGUGCAAGCUUAGACUUAGCGUCUCCUCUUCCGCGCGUAGUACGUCACGCUCUUCUGAUCUGCUGUCAGUUGGAGGCAGCUGGACAGUAGCUUGAAGUGACGAACUCCGUCCUCGUCACUGAUCGUAACUGGUCAUCCUCGUUCUUCGUCGCUGUCGAUGGUAACGACCGAAUCGAUCGACGAUCGAAGCCAAUGAACGCUGCCCAACACCCGACGUUCAAUCUUCUUAGCUGACCCCCCUCUUCCACGAAGUACGACUACCACAUAUAUUCGAACCGUAUCACUUCUUCGUAACGUUCUGAGGUAGUCUUUUACCUGGGCGCCAUCUGACGUAGGCGUAGCCGCGUGCCCUCUACGGCUGUAACCUGUCGCCGUCUCACACGUCUCAGACGGAAGACUGCCUAGAAGUGGUGGUUGACGGUACGAGAGACGGUAGGAAGGGCGAGGAGGGGUAGAGAUACGGUGUCGAGCGUCCGAUCGGGUAGGAGACGACGGAAGGAAAGACGGAGUGGAGGGGACUUGAUAGCUGGAAGAAAACACUCUGUCCUUGAACCCGCACCAAGUCAGAAAAAAACCUCCGAGUCAAGUCAGACACCAUACCAAGCCAAGUUACUUUCUUGCUUCUACUGAACGCACUGGGCGAGGACACACUCUAUCGUUUAACCCGAACGUCAGGCCCGAACGUCUCAACGUCAAGUCAAUACCACACCAAUUCAACUCUCAUUUUCUAAGAGAGUUUAUUUUCAACUCUCAUUUUCUUUCUUUUUCGUUUUCUCUCUCCUAUUCUUUACACACGAUCUCUUUUUUAGGAAGGUAAAAAAAUGAGAGGUGACGUGGACCCGAAAGUAAUCGACGCCUUUACCAAUCUAUACCACGCCUUUACCACAAGUCAAGGUUCCUAUCGUGUUAUUGUCUACUCCUACAACUGUCUUAAUAUCGAUUUCCUCUUCUCUGUUUUCGUCGCGACCUACGUUUCUACUUUUUUUAAGUGUCUCCUACGGUAAUUCAAAUUUUACCUACUGUCAUACGUGGAGAGAGAGAGAGAGAGAGAGAGAGAGAGAGAGAGAGAGAGAUUUACAUUGUACCCACUAUUAAACCCGGAACACACCUUUAAAACGAGUUGCUAUCUUUACGAUCUGAGCGUACACAUCCUUAAAUACUAUUUUUUUGUAUCUAUAAUUUUCAUAUGUGUGGACUGUCUUUGUUAUUUUCACAUAUGUAUAUGAUUUAUACCAAGUAUUUUUUAUUAUAAAAAAUAUGAAUUGAAAGUAUAUGAUUCCCAUAGUGUUAUUUUAACUCUCUUUUUUUGUUUAUAUGAACUAACUUCUUCCAAACAAACGUAAAAAAAGAGUAGUUUAUAUGUGCCAUUUAUAGAUAACAAAAAGAGUAGAAUUGUAUACAAAACAAAUAUAAUUAGGGAUUAUAAAGAGUAUAUUUUUUAUCAAUCAUCCUGAACUCUUCGCAGACUUUGAACGUACCUGUAGCGAAUCAAACAAUGUACCU
rnacentral:rRNA from 1 species